GGGCUGCAAACCCGCGAGGGGGAGCCAAUCCCAGAAAACCGUUCUCAGUUCGGAUUGUAGGCUGCAACUCGCCUGCAUGAAGCCGGAAUCGCUAGUAAUCGCGGAUCAGCAUGCCGCGGUGAAUACGUUCCCGGGCCUUGUACACACCGCCCGUCACACCACGAGAGUUUGUAACACCCGAAGUCGGUGGGGUAACCCUUACGGGAGCCAGCCGCCGAAGGUGGGACAGAUGAUUGGGGUGAAGUCGUAACAAGGUAGCCGUAUCGGAAGGUGCGGCUGGAUCACCUCCUUU
rnacentral:rRNA from 1 species